UACGGGGGGGGUAAGCGUUGUUCGGAAUUACUGGGCGUAAAGGGCUCGUAGGCGGCCAACUAAGUCAGACGUGAAAUCCCUCAGCUUAACUGGGGAACUGCGUCUGAUACUGGAUGGCUUGGAUUCGGGAGAGGAAUGCGGAAUUCCAGGUGUAGCGGUGAAAUGCGUAGAUAUCUGGAGGAACACCGGUGGCGAAGGCGGCAUUCUGGUCCGACAUUGACGCUGAGGAGCGAAAGCCAGGGGAGCAAACAGG
rnacentral:rRNA from 1 species